AAAUUGAAGAGUUUGAUCAUGGCUCAGAUUGAACGCUGGCGGCAGGCCUAACACAUGCAAGUCGAACGGUAACAGGAAGCAGCUUGAUGCUUUGCUGACGAGUGGCGGACGGGUGAGGAAUGUCUGGGAAACUGCCUGAUGGAGGGGGAUAACUACUGGUAACGGUAGCUAGUACCGCAUAACGUCGCAAGACCAAAGAGGGGGACCUUCGGGCCU
rnacentral:rRNA from 1 species